rnacentral:rRNA from 1 species
GACGAACGCUGGCGGCGUGCUUAACACAUGCAAGUCGAACGGAAAGGCGCUGCUUUUGUGGCGUGCUCGAUUGGCGAACGCGUGAGUAACACGUGAGUAAACUGCCCUUGACUUUCGGAUAACUUCAGGAAACUGGGGCUAAUACCGGAUAGGAGCUCCUGCUGCACAGGGGGCGUCGGAAAGUUUCGGCGGUUGGGGAUGGACUCGCGGCUUAUCCGCUGGUUGGUGGGGUAGUGGCUUACAAAGGGUUUGACGGGUAGCCGGCCUGAGAGGGUGAACGGCCACAUUGGGACUGAGAUACGGCGCAGACUCCUACGGGAGGCAGCAGUGGGGAAUAUUGCACAAUGGGCGGAAGCCUGAUGCAGCAACGCCGCGUGCGGGAUGACGGCCUUCGGGUUGUAAACCGCUGUCGCCUGUGACGAAGCGUGAGUGACGGUAAUGGGUAAAGAAGCACCGGCUAACUACGUG